rnacentral:rRNA from 1 species
UACGUAGGGUGCAAGCGUUAAUCGGAAUUACUGGGCGUAAAGCGUGCGCAGGCGGUUAUGCAAGACAGAUGUGAAAUCCCCGGGCUCAACCUGGGAACUGCAUUUGUGACUGCAUAGCUAGAGUACGGUAGAGGGGGAUGGAAUUCCGCGUGUAGCAGUGAAAUGCGUAGAUAUGCGGAGGAACACCAGUGGCGAAAGCGGCUUUCUGGUCCUUAACUGACGCUGAGGCGCGAAAGCAUGGGGAGCGAACGGG